AGUGAACGCUGGCGGUAGGCCUAACACAUGCAAGUCGAACGGCAGCACAGUAAGAGCUUGCUCUUACGGGUGGCGAGUGGCGGACGGGUGAGGAAUACAUCGGAAUCUACUUUUUCGUGGGGGAUAACGUAGGGAAACUUACGCUAAUACCGCAUACGACCUACGGGUGAAAGCAGGGGAUCUUCGGACCUUGCGCGAUUGAAUGAGCCGAUGUCGGAUUAGCUGGUUGGCGGGGUAAAGGCCCACCAAGGCGACGAUCCGUAGCUGGUGUGAGAGGAUGGUCAGCCACACUGGAACGGAGACACGCGCCAGACUCCUACGGGAGGCAGCAGUGGGGAAUAUUGGACAAUGGGCGCAAGCCUGAUACAGCCAUACCGCGUGGGUGAAGAAGGCCUUCGGGUCGUAAAGCCCUUUUGUUGGGAAAGAAAAGCAGCAGGUUAAGACCCCGCGGUUCUGACGGUACCCAAAGAAUAAGCACCGGCUAACUUCGUG
rnacentral:rRNA from 1 species